GGAGGGGUAGCUCAAGUGGUAGAGCACGUGCUUCGCAUGCAUGAGGUCCUGGGUUCGAUCCCCAGUCCCUCCU